rnacentral:rRNA from 1 species
UACAGAGGGUGCAAGCGUUGUUCGGAAUUAUUGGGCGUAAAGCGCGUGUAGGCGGUUUGUUAAGUCUGGUGUGAAAGCCCUGGGCUCAACCUGGGAAGUGCAUUGGAUACUGGCAAACUUGAGUACGGGAGAGGAUAGUGGAAUUUCGAGUGUAGGGGUGAAAUCCGUAGAUAUUCGAAGGAACACCGGUGGCGAAGGCGGCUAUCUGGACCGAUACUGACGCUGAGACGCGAAAGCGUGGGGAGCAAACAGG